UCCCUGUUGGCUCAGAGGUUAAAGCAUCUGCCUACAAUGCAGGAGACCCAGGUUCGAUCCCUGGGUUGGGAA
rnacentral:tRNA from 2 species